rnacentral:rRNA from 1 species
AGCGAACGCUGGCGGCAGGCCUAACACAUGCAAGUCGAACGAACUCUUCGGAGUUAGUGGCGGACGGGUGAGUAACCCGAGGGAACGUGCCUUUUGGUUCGGAAUAACUCAGGGAAACUUGUGCUAAUACCGAAUGUGCCCUUCGGGGGAAAGAUUUAUCGCCAUUAGAGCGGCCCGCGUCUGAUUAGCUAGUUGGUGAGGUAACGGCUCACCAAGGCGACGAUCAGUAGCUGGUCUGAGAGGAUGACCAGCCACACUGGGACUGAGACACGGCCCAGACUCCUACGGGAGGCAGCAGUGGGGAAUCUUGCGCAAUGGGCGAAAGCCUGACGCAGCCAUGCCGCGUGAAUGAUGAAGGUCUUAGGAUUGUAAAAUUCUUUCACCGGGGACGAUAAUGACGGUACCCGGAGAAGAAGCCCCGGCUAACUUCGUG